ensembl:lncRNA
AAGAACAUGUCCCUGUGGUGUAUACCACCUUGCUACAUCGUCUAAAGAACAUGUCCCUGUGGUGUAUACCACCUUGCUACAUCGUCUAAAGAACAUGUCCCUGUGGUGUAUACCACCUUGCUACAUCGUCUAAAGAACAUGACCCUGUGGUGUAUACCACCUUGCUACAUCGUCUAAAGAACAUGUUGAAUCCGAGAAUUUAAUUUAUAUAAAUAUUAUGACAUAUAUGGUGAUAGAUUUUAGCUAUCCGAGAAAACGUCUGUAAAUGAACACAACAACAACAACAACAACAACAGAAUAUUUGACAACCGCUCAGUCAAAACAUAGGAAACACAAAUACACAGCAGUUAAGACACCUGGACACCUGCUUCUGGUCAAAACUAGUGCACUACAUAGGGAUUAGGGUGCCAGACUGGUCAAAACUAGUGCACUACAUAGGGAUUAGGGUGCCAGACUUGUCAAAACUAGUGCACUACAUAGGGAUUAGGGUGCCAGACUGGUCAAAACUAGUAGUCAUCUCUAUAGGGACCUGUGAGAUCUCUAGUGAUCUCUGUUCUCUUUAUUCCUCCAAGAGGAACUGUUGUUGUGCAUUUAAGAUGCCACUCUAGCCUGAUCCCAGAUCUGUUUCUGAUCUCUGGACAACUCCAGUGAUGUCAUUGUUAUGACAAUUCCAUAGGAGUUGUCAAGAGAACAGAAACAGGCACCCAGGCUAAACUGACUGGCACCCAGGCUAAACUGACUGGCACCCACACCCAGGCUAUCCUGACUGGCACCCAGGCUAAACAGACUGGCACCCAGGCUAAACUGACUGGCACCCAGGCUAAACUGACAGGCACCCAGGCUAAACAGACUGGCACCCAGGCUAAACUGACUGGUAUUCAGGCUAAACAGACUGGCACCCAGGCUAAACUGACUGGCACCCAGGCUAAACACACCUUCCACUCUCUCCUUCUCCUUGACUAACUUGUGUGGUGAAUUAUGAUAUGUAUGAAAUUACAAUUGUCUGCACACAUGACAUGUAAAUUACUAUGAAAAGAAAGCGUCUGCUAAAUGUCAUAUAUUAUUGUCUUAGUCAUUGUUUACAAUGAGAUGUUGUAUUUCCAGUUUCCUUCACCAUUUACUGUUCUAAUAAAGUCACAUGACCGUCUUCACCUGGUAUGUCUGUUCUAAUAAAGUCACAUGACCGUCUUCACCUGGUAUGUCUGUUCUAAUAAAG